GAGAGACAGAAGGGGAAGGAAGGAAAGUUUCGUUUAGUCGGCGCAACAUCUGUGGUCAUAAGCCGGAGAGAGACAGAAGGGGAAGGAAGGAAAGUUUCGUUUAGUCGGCGCAACAUCUGUGGUCAUAAGCCGGAGAGAGACAGAAGGGGUAGGAAUUAUACGGGAAGGGAACAGACCCCAGGAGACGGGACACAACCCUUGAUUAAUACCUGGUACCCAUUCACUGCUGGGUAUCGGAAAAGCCGCCCAAAUUUUUCAACUCCGCCCGGGAAUCGAACCCAGGCUCUCGGUUGUGAGCUGAGUGUGCUAACCACUGCACCACGAAGCCCCAAGCUGAACAAGAACAGCUCAACUUACAUAUAUAUUUCCCCCCAUAGAUCUUGCCUCCUAAAGUGUUAGCCUAGGAUAGUUUUCUCUUAUUUCUUUCUUUCCUGUAAAAUUUCCAUGUCCCAGCUCUCAACAAGGGACGUACGCUGACAUCCAUGCUUUACUUACGCUAAACAACUAUUUUGGAGUGCAAUUUUCAAGCCAUAAAAUACUUGUCCCGAAAUUUGGGUUUAAGAAAUUACAAGUUUGUUUCUUCUUUGUCUUUCUGCGGUUCCCUGUACGGGUCACGACGGUAGGUCAUCACUUUCCACCUCCUCCUGACCUCUGCAUCUCUCACUGCUACACCAGUCACCAUAAGGGUAGGCGGUGGCUGAGUGGUAGCGUGCUGGGCCCACAUUCACCGCGUGACAGGACGGGACACAGCCCCCGAUUAAUACCUGGUUGGGUGGACAGGGGCAUAGGGUAUCGGAAAAGCCGCCCAAAUUUUUCCACUCCGCCCGGGAAUCGAACCUGGGCUCUCUCGGUUGUGAGCCGAGUGUGCUAACCACUGCACCACGAAGCCCCCGCACAGUUAAGAUGUACUUUUGCUCAUUUGUUCUUUGUUAUAUCCAUUUUUCCUUUGUAAUGUGUUAUUUUUACAGUCAUGCACAAACCUCUCCCAUAAAGUGUUCUUCCUUGGGUUAGAGAGUUAUAGCUUGUAGGUAUAUUAUAAAGUUUACAUUGUCUCUAUUUGACCCAUGUUAGAAGUACAGAGACUAUGCUAUGCUAUGUAAAAUAUCAAAUAUAUUCCUCAAUCUACAUGUUUUGCUUAUACCAAUGUGACCCGAGCCCUCUGCACCACCAUCAUCUAUACAUAUGAAAAGGAAAAUAGUUUCAAAAUUACCAAAACUUUCUUUAGCAACCUCUCCAGGAAAGCAGCCUUCAUGUCACUCAAGGGCCACCUCAACCCCACUGUACGUCUCCUAUACAUCAAAUAUCCAUGGACUUCCUCCCUACUGUGUACUGAGGCUAACUUGGAGCUGGAGAUCUGAAGCUAGUUAGAGAGUUAUCCAUGCCUUAUGUUGACAAAAGGAGCAUUUUAAGCUUAUAGAAUAGGCUACACAUUGUCCACACCCAUUAGAAAAGAAUGAUUCACGAUGUUUAAACUAUUCUUAAGGUGAUAUUACACUGGGCAAGUUUUCCGUGGAUCGUCAGUCAAACCACGAUUUCCGCUGGCGUGGUUUUCUGAUGUGUCCGCGAUCUUUCAAAGCCACGGUAGAUUUCACUGAAGAACGACGGUAUUGCUCAUCAUCAUCAUCAGCAGCAAUAGCAGGAAAUAAAUGAGAACUACGGUAGCGGAAAUUGAGGUUUGACUGAAGAUCCACGGUAGCGGAAAUCGAGGUUUGACUGAAGAUCCACGGUAGCGGAAAUCGAGGUUUGACUUAAGAUCCACGGUAGCGGAAAUCGAGGUUUGACUGAAGAUCCACGGUAGCGGAAAUCGAGGUUUGACUGAAGAUCCACGGUAGCGGAAAUCGAGGUUUGACUGAAGAUCCACGGUAGCGGAAAUCGAGGUUUGACUGAAGAUCCACGGUAGCGGAAAUCGAGGUUUGACUGAAGAUCCACGGUAGCGGAAAUCGAGGUUUGACUGAAGAUCCACGGUAGCGGAAAUCGAGGUUUGACUGAAGAUCCACGGUAGCGGAAAUCGAGGUUUGACUGAAGAUCCACGGUAGCGGAAAUCGAGGUUUGACUGAAGAUCCACGGUAGCGGAAAUUGAGGUUUGACUGAAGAUCCACGGUAGCGGAAAUUGAGGUUUGACUGAAGAUCCACGGUAGCGGAAAUCGAGGUUUGACUGAAGAUCCACGGUAGCGGAAAUCGAGGUUUGACUGAAGAUCCACGGUAGCGGAAAUUGAGGUUUGACUGAAGAUCCACGGUAGCGGAAAUCGAGGUUUGACUGAAGAUCCACGGUAGCGGAAAUCGAGGUUUGACUGAAGAUCCACGGUAGCGGAAAUCGAGGUUUGACUGAAGAUCCACGGAAAACUUGCCCAGUGUAAAAGCCCUUUAAGUUAUCUAGGAUUUCCAUUCAAAAAAUUUUCUACUUCUAUUUCAACACUGGAACUGAAAAGCACUAGAUGUUAUUGUGGAUACAGAGGCUGAACUUUAACCACAAUUUAACAUGUGAGGUGACUUGGUACAUUCAUCUACGUGCAGGAAAUGUUCAUCAAAAUUGUGUUGUUCCUUUUCAAGCUUGACCUACUCAGUGGAAUGACUGGUCCACUAUCUCUCGACACACAUAAAACAUCGAACUGCUACAAAUAACAUAGAUUCUUUGCAAUAUGGGUAGGCGGUGGCUGAGUGGUAGCGUGCUGGGCCCACAUUCACCGCGUGACGGACGACGCGGGUUCGAAUCCCCACGCUACCACCUGGGAUUUUUCAGUCACCGCCGAGUGGCUUAAAACUACCCACAUGCUGUCCUGAAGACCACCCAUCAACCCGGACUCUAGCGGAAACCGUCCAAAUGAAUCAAGGAGUUCCGGGGGGCAGCAUGAGCCAGGGGAAGAUGGCGCCACUAUAAACACUUGCCUGUGCCAUGACGGGCUGGGGCCAACUACCAUCCAGGCCCCACAUGAGAGCCUACCAGCGCUAUGGGCAUACACGUAAAAUAAAUAAAAAAAUAAAAAGUUAGCAGCCAUGGCAUGCAAGGAAAAACAGCCAACUAUCUGAGGUCUGGGGUCUGAGGCAAGGCUGUUUCUGCGGUAAGCUUGACACUAAACACUGGAUCACUAGGGUAUGUGCAACAGCUUAGCGGAUUGCGUCAUCAUUCAUCACAGGGAAUGAAUGAUUGACAGCUGCCUGAUAUCGACAAGAUGCAAACACUCAUGCAUCAUCUACUCCAUCUAAAGCCCAGCCAAACUGUCUAUUCCGUUUGGGCGUACGCUUCUGUGGGUCAGUUUCUCCACUCUGCCACACAGUCCUAAGAGCUAUCCCUUCCUCUCAUAUGUAAGGUAAAGAUAACAUAUGAGAGGAUGGGAUAGGUUUGGGACUGUGUGGCAGAGCAGAGGGGAGGAAUGGACCAGUGGGAGUGUACGCCAAAACGGACUCGACAAUUUGGCUGGACCAGAGUGCACACAAUAAAGCAAGUCUGUACAAAUUGAUUUCAGGUCAACGAGCCAGUUCCACAGUCCAACACAGCGUCUUCGUAACACCCCGAACCAAACUACAGAAUCCCAUACAAUCCAAAACGGUGAGGUCUUCAAUGCCACACUAAAUACACAAGACUUUUCCUGUAUAGUUUCAUCAAAUUUGUGAACUUAAAUACAAACACCAGACACUAGACAAGGAAAUUUUGAAGGCUCUGGUAUUGGUUUGGGAGCUUACUAACCCAUCAUGGCGAACUGUGAAACUGGCCCUUAAACACAACAAACAGGUUAGGUUAGGUUAGGUUAGGUUAGGUUAGGUUAGGUUAGGCAGCACUAAGAACCGGUUUCACAGUCCAACACAGUGUCUCCGUAACACCCCGAACCAAACUCCAGAAUCCCAUACAAUCCAAAACGGUGAGGUCUUCAAUGCCACACUAAAUACACAAGACCUUUCCUGUAUAGUUUCAUCAAAUUUGUGAACUUAAUUAUAAACACCAGACACUAGACAAGGAAAUUUUGAAGGCUCUGGUAUUGGUUUGGGAGCUUACUAACCCAUCAUGGCGAACUGUGAGACUGGCCAACCUCCACCAAUGGUUAUGAUAUGCUUGAUAAUUGAAGAAUGAGUCUCAGCCUUCAGUGAGGGAGUAUCCAUGUGCAACUCAACUCCCUGACCUUGACUUAGAAAAACUGUGUUGAAAAUUCCGCUCAAAAAUACGUAUAGUCAUCCCUCAAAUAGUACAGUUUUAUGUGGAUUUUCAUAGAUUUUUUUAGGAUUUUAAAAUUUCCCGACAAGCAGGAUAUUUAAAAAUCCUAAAACGAUCUUCAACGACAAUCCGUAUAAAGCCAAAACCGUGCUAUUUGAGGGCCGACUGUAUACGGUACAAUGUAAAUACCUAUGUUCAAAUCUUUACGAU